AUAAGAAAAGGAUAUUAUAGCGCUUAUAACAGUCUUGCUAUUUGUAUAACGACGCUUGAUUUUUUUUAGCGUUUGUCAAUUUAAAAACGUUAUGUUUGUUACGGUGGGAAAAUAAAGAAAUUUUGCUGCUUAAUUUGUUACAAUAAGGUACGUUCUCGUUCAAUCGUUCUUCUUUGUUCUAUCUCAUUGAGAAAAAAAUAACAAUUAUAUCUUGAUUAGGGUUCUUAUCAUCACUCAUUCUCUCUCUCUCUCUCUCUCUGGCUCCAAAUUCAAUAUCGAAACACUCGGUUGACUCAAUGACAAUCGCCGGCAGCCGCAACGAGUUGUCGAAUCAAAUGGAGGUGGGGUUAGAUUCGUUUCAGAGACAAGUCGCGGAAAGGUUUAUCGAUCUAAAUGCAGGAGAAUGAUAAUGAGAAUCCAAGCACGGCUGCUUCAAGCGCUUAAGCCAUGGAAUUGGAGAAGCCGAAGGCAAAGCAGCACAAGGAAGGAAUUAGUUACAUCAACAGCCGCGAAGCCAUGGACUCAUCACCUCGUCUCUAGCAUCCUUCGCUCCUUCCCAGAUUCUUCUUCAAUUCCCCACUUUCCAUCGGUCGGCAAAAGGGUUUUCGUCACCGGUCACUUUAAAGCAGAGAAACCUCCGUGAAGAAUCAGUCCGACGAAGAAAGCUUCACCUUUUUCUUCAUGAUUAUGUUGCAAAGUAGCCGAGUAUGUCUGAUUCUGUUUUUCGUUCUAAUGGGGGUAGUGAAAUUGAAUUGUACAUCAAGAUUGGUCUGAUGAGAAUGAUGUCAAGACGCUGUAUUAUAAUGUAUUGAAGGCAUCAGGAAAGGAAGUGUCUUCACAAAACAACGAGGAGGUCUUGGGAAAUGGUUUGACGCCAUCUGCAGCUGAUGUUGCUGUGUAUGCAGAUUUGCAUUCUUCAGUGGUAAUGACUGUUAUAAUGUUCUUGUUAUAUGUCGUUUCUGUGACAUCUUUGUUUUCUUCCUGUUGGCGAAGACAGCGAUGAUGUUGAGAAGGAGAUUUCUAGGCAAGCUUCCAAAACCAAGUCUGUUAAGGAAGUACGUUUCCCAAUCUCACUCUGUUUCUUAGUUUUAGAUUCUGCUAAGUAGUUAAAAGGUGUUGUGUUGAAUUAGACUGAGGAGCAUCAUAACAAGGCGAGAGUCGUUGUCUUAGUUUAGAUCAGUCCUUGUCAAAUGUUCUGAAUGACAAAUGCUUUUUGUUUCUUAUGGUCUUGUUUUCUUUGAGGUCUUGAAGGGUAUUGUAAGAAAUGGAUAACAUCAGUGAAUUGUCUAAUGAACUGUUGGUGAGGGUACUAUCGUUAGUUCCAACAUUCACUGUUUGUACUUAUGGAUUUUAUCGACAAGAAUCUGCCAUUACAUAGAGCUCCUGUCAUAGAAAACUUGCGUCUUUCUUUAUGGGAGUCAAGGGUGGGUUGAGAUUGCUGUAUAUCGCUAUCUACGUAAGCUGGACAUUUCAUUUUCUUCGGUUAAAAAAGAAAACAUGGUUGCCAACAGCUUGUUUACUUGCAAAACGCUUGUGAUCUUGAAACCUUGAACCAAUACAUGUCUUUUCAUUUGUAUAACAUAAUUCUACUUUCAUCUGUUUUUGUGACCAAAUUGUUCUGAAAGUGAGUGUUUCGGUUUGGUUGCGGACCGGUUCUAGAUUGUCAGUACCUGAUUUUUUUUCUAUGAUAUAAUAUUUGGCAAUUAAAUAUCUGAAAUUACCGAAAAGUAUUCGAAAAGCCAAAAGUAUAAUUAAAAUCCAAAAUUUAAAACAUAUUUAUGAAAAACCAAAAGUAUAAUUAGUAACAUACUUUACUCUCAAACUGUAUACUUUAAAAUUUACCAUAAUUAUAUAACCUAAUCAUACAUUCAUACUCCAGAAUUCUAGUUUUAAUUAACAAAAAAAAUUAUUUUUUUUCACAGUUAUAACCGGAUGUAAUUUUUAAAAAUUUAAUUUUAUAAAUAUAUUUUUUGUUUAUUUGUAUGUGGUAAUUGUAAUUUGUUUUUUAAAUAACAACAUCCUAAACCCUAAACUUUAAACCCUAAACAUAAAUUUUAAAAAUUCAAUCUUUUCAUAAUGUAACUUCAAUCUUAAACUUAAACUCAAAAUUUAAUCAUUUAAAAAUUAUAAUCUCAAAUUUAAAACUUUGAACACUAAAUAUACACUCUAAAUCUAAUACCCUAAACCCCAAACCUAAACCCUACAUAUAAAGUCUUUAGUCUAAUCUAAUAUUUUUAACAUCAAGUCUUAAAUUUAAAAGAUCCUAAAUUUAUACUAUCCAAUACUUACAAAAGUUAAUUUUCAAAAUUUAAAUUUUAACAUUUUAUUUUAUAUAUCUAAACUAUAAACCUACAUAUAUAUAUAUAUAUAUAUACCUCAAAUCAUAUAUUAUCAUUACUUUACAUCAAAAACAUUAGACCAUAUCACAUAUUUCAAAUGCUAUAUCACAUACAUUAACAUUUAAAUAAAAACUGAAUUUUAAUGAUGAAACCAAAAUAUAAAAUCAUAUUUUUGUAUUAUCUAACAUAGAAAUUACUAUACAAAUCUACUAAGAGAUAAAACAACAUAAAAUAGAUAGAAAAAAAAAUCUGUCAUUGACCACUAAUAUUAAUCUAUCCAUAUCACAUUCUUUACCAUUGGAUUGGAUUUAAUCUAACUAUACUCUCUCUUUCUUUUUCUUCUUUCUCCGUGUCGACAGACUCUUUGACUAUCUCUUUGCCUUUAUUUUUUUUUCUUCUGAAAACUCAUCUCUCUGUAGAUUCUCUCUCAAUCUUUAAUAUCCCUAUCAACAAAUUCAAAACUUUUUUUUUGAUUAACCUGGGGGUAUCCCAGGCCCAUGGAGAGGCCCAGACUAAUCCCCAAGAGGAGGUGCAGCCCACGGAUAGAUCCUCUCUCCGGGUAUUCAAAUGGGCCCUAAAGCAUAGGCUCAUUUCUGUGUUAGGUGACCAGGAUAAUUGUGACUUAGUUUCGCGCAGCAGGUGGAUCGAACUUGAAACGUGUUGGCAUCUCAGUCCCGUCUUCUUCCUCAGUCAUCUCCUUCAAUAUCAAAGCAUAUUCUUCAAGCCAUGGCUGGAGGAAGACAUGACAACAACGCUGGAUCUGUCUCUCUCUACUAGUUCAAAUCUAAUUUUAUUUGUUUUGUUUUUAGGGUCGAUUCAACAAAUGAGAAGCUGAAGAGACGAUGGUACAUCCGCUCGUCACCACCACCAUCGCUUCUCAUAUCCAUCCGUCUUCACCGGGGUCAUAUUCUCAUAGAAAGUCCUUGUCUUUGGCUCGAUGCCAUUCAAAGGAGAUAUCUUGCCGGAAUCGGAACGAGCCGGAGUCGAAGAGGGAGUCGAGUCGGAGCUGUGUCGGAUUAUGUAUGCGGAGGAAGACGGUGAGAUGAUGACACGGGAAGGAGAAUUGGUGAAAAAGUUCGUGAUGGUGGAUGAUGGAAGAAGACAUCAGAUGGUGUAGCUGACAGCGUGUUUGAAGUGUCGAUGGUGGAGAAUCCGGUAAAGGUGGCCGCGGAAGUGGAGCUCUGCGGCAAAGGAGGCGGAGGCGCGAAGAGUUAGGGAUUUUUUUAUGUUUUUUUUUGUUUAUUUUUUGUUUACAAUUAAAACAAAUUUGGUUUAACGUGUAAACUGAAUUUAUUUGUAAACUGAUUAUAAUUAAUAAAUAAAUUUUAAUUUUUUAUUUCUAAA